AACGUAGGAGGCGAGCGUUAUCCGGAUUUACUGGGCGUAAAGCGCAUGCAGGCGGUUUUCUAAGUCGGACGUGAAAGCUCCCGGCCCAACUGGGAGAGGCCGUUCGAAACUAGAAAACUUGAGGAUGGUAGAGGAGAGUGGAAUUCCCGGUGUAGUGGUGAAAUGCGUAGAUAUCGGGAGGAACACCAGUGGCGAAAGCGGCUCUCUGGGCCAUACCUGACGCUCAGAUGCGAAAGCUAGGGGAGAGAACGGGAUUAGAAACCCCGGUAUUCCUAGCCGUAAACGAUGUCAACUAGGCGUAGGAGGUUAUUGACCCCUUCUGUGCUGUAGCUAACGCAUUAAGUUGACCGCCUGGGGACUACGGCCGCAAGGCUAAAACUCAAAGGAAUUGACGGGGACCCGCACAAGCAGCGGAGCGUGUGGUUUAAUUCGAGGCUACGCGAAGAACCUUACCAGGGCUUGACAUAUAGCUGGUAGUGAGUCGAAAGAUGAACGACCCUUCGGGGAGGCUAUACAGGUGCUGCAUGGCUGUCGUCAGCUCGUGCCGUGAGGUGUUAGGUUAAGUCCUGUAACGAGCGCAACCCUCGUCGUUAGUUAUACGUGUCUAACGAGACUGCCGGUGAUAAGCCGGAGGAAGGUGGGGAUGACGUCAAGUCAGCAUGGCCUUUAUGUCCUGGGCUACACACACGCUACAAUGGCCGGUACAAUGGGUUGCCAAGCCGCGAGGCGGAGCCAAUCCCCCAAAGCCGGUCUCAGUUCGGAUUGCAGGCUGCAACUCGCCUGCAUGAAGUCGGAGUUGCUAGUAAACGCGCGUCAGCAACAGUGCGUUGAAUACGUUCCCGGGUCU
rnacentral:rRNA from 1 species